UGGAUAAGCGCUGAAAGCAUCUAAGUGCGAAGCCAGCCGCAAGAUGAGAACUCCAUUGAGGGUCGUUGUAGACGACGACGUUGAUAGGGUGCAGGUGUAAAGACAGCGAUGUCAAAGCCGAGCACUACUAAUUGCCCGAAACUUUCUUCUUUU
rnacentral:rRNA from 1 species